ensembl:lncRNA
GGCCUAGCCUGUUUACUAUACUCCGGCGACGGCUUGUGCAACCGGCCUAGAGGCGAACUGAGGGGCGGGGCCUUCCCUUCUCUCUUCCACCCGGUCUCGGGCUUCUUCAGAGGGCCCGCCUUCUCUUGUUUUCCACUGGCUGGGCGAGGCUCCCUUUUUUCCUGCUCGGUUGUUGAUUGGAUGACAUUCUUCCCAGCUCCGCCUAUCGGAGGCCGGGCUGGAGUUUAAGUUGCUAGGAUUUUUUUCCGUGAAGGGCGGAGGGAGGAUUCCUGCGGCUUACGUGAGGCGCAAGGGUCCGCCCCUACUUCUGAUUGGUGGGGUGGAUAGUCCCGCCCCCUACGGGGGAGCGAGCUUGGAGGGGGAAGUCCAACCCUGUUCCCCGCCCCCUCCCCUAGCGUGUGUGCGCGCUCAGCACAUGUGUAAGGCGCGCCUUGCUCCUUCGAACAGUCCUCCCGCCCGGAAGUCCCGGGCUUGGAGCUCUUGGCAAGGGGGGCGGGGAGAGCCGAGAAGGCACACGAUGUUUCCUCCAAGGCUCGAGAUCUGAUCCCAAGGCAUCGGAUUCCCGCUGCUGCGCUCCGCAUCACCUCCUGUUACAGGCCCUGGAACUCUCUGCGCUUCAGUCUCUAGUGUAAACAUUCCACAAAAGGACUGCUAAGGUUCAGCCUCCUCGCGCAGGGCGGAGUCAGCUGCUUCCUAGACGGGCAUCCUGGCCAAUAGAGGCUCCUACCGGCGCCGAGAUAGCCAGUCUGAUGGUUGGAGGCGGGGCCUGGCCCGGCAGUGCGGUAGGAGGAGCCUGCUCACGGACAUUUUACCCCACAUCGGUUACUUACCUUCCUGGGGCAGCCGGAGAGCUAGGGGUAGCCUUCCAAUGCGGUGACCGGCGAGGGCGGGAGCCGAGUUUUUGGGCCUGUAGCUGAGACGGCACGGGGCGGGACAUGUAGAGUCCUCCAAUAAGAUGCGAAGAGCUUCCCUGUUUCCUCCAAUAGUAUUGUGGCUUGGGG